UUAUAUAUCACAAUGUAAUUUUAUACUGAGUAGUACACUUUAAAACAUAGAUGUACAUGUGAUAAGAUAUGGUAUUGCAUUUUUAUGAAUAUAUUAUUUACUCAUGCAGUAAAUGCACACACAUAUUGUCUCAAAUUGUAGCUUUUUAUUUCUUACAAUUUGUACAUUUGUGUCAUGAUGGUUCUUUUCCAUAACAUUGUGGUAAUAAAGAGUUGGUUAAUGCUUUAAACUUUAUUCGUAUGAUAGGGAAAAUCACUUUGAUAAAGCAAAGAUGCCUACAUAUAAUAAUAACACAGAGUUAAUAAUAUGUAAUGUUUGUGUUUGUUAUUGAGCUGGGAAGCAGGCGCGUGACAAAAGAACGAAUGACUCAGAUGGGGUGGUAUACUAAACUAACAGACUGCAUAGCCUGAAGCAGUUAAUUAAUGCUUUCUGUUUCUCAUAAUUUGGCCUUGGUUAAAUUUUUUUUUUUUUUUCCUCAUUAAAAAUAUGAUCAACUUCACGUAAGUAGAUGUGUUGGGGGAUUUGGCUAUUAACAUGUAACAAUUAAAUUAUAUUCUACUGAAAUAAGUGAAAUGACUUAAAAAAAACUAAAAAAAGAAAAAAAAAAGAUUUGUUCAUUUUGAUGAACGGGAUUCAGAGAUCCAAGUCAGCAAAAUGAUCAGAACUUCCCAUCACUAGCACAUACCUAAGUAUUUAGACCACACAGACAUUACUCUUUAAGUAAAGUAAAAUAUAGUCUUCCUCACCGCAGGCUCUACUCUUCAGCACAACGGUAACCCCACAAACUUACACAUACCAGAAACCCUUUUACAUUCCAAAAAAAAACAUUACUGUAAACACUAACAGAUCUCACCCUAUAAUAAUGAGCAAAAACACAUGAAAUUAAAAACACAAAAACACAUGAAAUAAAACUCGAUUUUAACAUUUACUCUCCUUCGACAGUCAGAAUGAAGGAUAUCCUUACUGUCACGGUCUGCUACUGUGAGGAGCAUGGAGCGAGGAACAAGGAGACACAGAGUCCAAUUCAAACAUACAGUGUUUAAUAACAUCCAGGGAAACAGGAAAACACACGUAGCAAGGGUUAACAUUAACAAUUCCAGACCAGGGAGAACAGAGCAGGCUAGAACUCAAAUAGGGCAGAUAACGAGGGGCAGACAGGUGAGGAGAUUAAGUAAUAAUGAGAAACACCUGAAAUUAAUAGAACUAAAUGGGGACAUAAACAGGAACAUAAACACUUACAAAACAAAAAUAUGUGGUUAUAGAGAUUGACUUUUAUACGUUUUUUUUUUUUUUGGUGUGUGUGAUUUUGUCACAGACUAAAUCACAGACACUUUAGACAUAGACAAAGACGGACAGAGACGGAGAACUCAAGGUGUAUAAGCAUGACUCUGACAAAGGGAACUAACGAGAUAACUAAUGAACACAGCAACUAAAAACAAUGAAAACACACUAGACAUGUUACACUGUGUUGUUUGCUGAACUUUUUUAUUUUCUUUGGUUAAAAGUUGCCAUUUUUGAUUUUUCAUUGGAAAAUACAUAACUCUGAUCCAUGUUAUUUGUUUUAAUGUGACAACACAAGAAACAUUGCUGUUUUCGGCAUAUGAUUAUGUGUGAAAGUGCACAUAUUUUAAAAUAAAAAUAUUACUGGCAAAUAGUUCA
ensembl:lncRNA